AACGAACGCUGGCGGCAUGCCUAACACAUGCGAGUCGAACGAGAUCUUCGGGUCUAGUGGCGCACGGGUGCGUAACGCGUGGGAAUCUGCCCUUUGGUUCGGAAUAACAGUUGGAAACGACUGCUAAUACCGGAUGAUGACGAAAGUCCAAGAUUUAUCGCCAGAGGAUGAGCCCGCGUAGGAUUAGCUAGUUGGUGUGGUAAAGGCGCACCAAGGCGACGAUCCUUAGCUGGUCUGAGAGGAUGAUCAGCCACACUGGGACUGAGACACGGCCCAGACUCCUACGGGAGGCAGCAGUGGGGAAUAUUGGACAAUGGGCGAAAGCCUGAUCCAGCAAUGCCGCGUGAGUGAUGAAGGCCUUAGGGUUGUAAAGCUCUUUUACCCGGGAUGAUAAUGACAGUACCGGGAGAAUAAGCUCCGGCUAACUCCGUGCCAGCCGCCGCAGUAA
rnacentral:rRNA from 1 species